rnacentral:rRNA from 1 species
GACGAACGCUGGCGGCGUGCUUAACACAUGCAAGUCGAACGGAAAGGCCCUGCUUUUGUGGGGUGCUCGAGUGGCGAACGGGUGAGUAACACGUGAGUAACCUGCCCUUGACUUUGGGAUAACUUCAGGAAACUGGGGCUCAUACCGGAUAGGAGCUCCUGCUGCAUGGUGGGGGUUGGAAAGUUUCGGCGGUUGGGGAUGGACUCGCGGCUUAUCAGCUUGUUGGUGGGGUAGUGGCUUACCAAGGCUUUGACGGGUAGCCGGCCUGAGAGGGUGACCGGCCACAUUGGGACUGAGAUACGGCCCAGACUCCUACGGGAGGCAGCAGUGGGGAAUAUUGCACAAUGGGCGGAAGCCUGAUGCAGCAACGCCGCGUGCGGGAUGACGGCCUUCGGGUUGUAAACCGCUUUCGCCUGUGACGAAGCGUGAGUGGCGGUAAUGGGUAAAGAAGCACCGGCUAACUACGUG